rnacentral:siRNA from 1 species
UAGGGGUGUCAAAAUAGGUA